rnacentral:lncRNA from 1 species
GGCGGAGGCCGCUGCCACGGAACCGGGCGGGAGGCGCACAGCCCGCGGGAGCUGGUUUUCCCGGGAGGGCACGUGACGGGGUUGGCAGCACUCGCGCCCAAGCUGGGGGAGGGGGAAGUGGCGAGCAGGAGGCCGGGGGCGGGCGGCUGGCGCGCUGUGUACUUAGGUCGUGUGCUGGGGCUUUUCUCUCCAGGGAGCCGGCCGAGGGGCGGGGGAGGGGCCACCGCUCCGCCUUCUUCUUUUCGCAAUGUUGACGCAAUCUAUAAAUAGUGGAACAAAAGGACCAACUUCCUCGGAGCUUUGCUGAAACUGCACAAAAAAUCGAGCUGGGGGGUUCCCUGGUCCCCGGCGUUGGGGCGGGGAGCGCUGCGCCGAGGGAGGGGGCGGCGCAGACCGGCCUAGGGGACACCUGGCCGAGCGCAGCUGCCACUCCGCUCGAGCCCUGCGCUCCAGUGUCCCCACUGGCUGGAGAGCUCGCCCCGACCGGGGGUCUUCCUCCGCCGCUGACAGACUUAAGGAGACAAAUGCAUUGGAUUAUCCUGAUUCACCAUGUGUGAGAGGCAUCGGAUUUGGUAGAGAACUUGUGUGUCCCCGGAGUGGUGUCUGAAAGGUGAACAUCUCCACCGCGGCACAAGGGCGACGCUGGCACACACGCACGCGCGAGACUGGAACCGAGGAAGUGGAGAGCCUUGCGCAACGACGAUUCUGCGCAUGUGCCGGGGCAUGGCGGGGGUGGGGGGGGGGUGGGAGUGUAGAAGUUUUCCGCAUGCGCAACAGGGUGAGGUGGGGGGUGCGGCAGAGACAGCUGUGGAGACAGCCCGCGUUCCCGGCAUGCCCCGGGGCGGCGGGGUUGGCUCUAACGAAUUUGAAUGAGGAGCCUCAGCGCUUUCGGCGCCAUUUUCGAGUGAUGCCUGAUCUCAUCAAUCUAGCGGGACGGAAGGGAUAACCUGUCCGAGCGCAGCGCGACGCUAGGAUCGUGCCGAAAAAUCCCCCAAAAAUUAUCAAAAAACAAAAAAAAAAACUUAAAACCGAAGGGCCGUCGACGGAGCUUUCGCCAGAUUUGGCGCAGACGAUUUUAACCUUUAGAAGAGAACCAAUUCUGGAAAACAACCUAAGUUUCUUUGACUGAAUGCUGGCAUAAUGCAUUGGAACACAAUAGAGGAUUAAGGUUUAACAAUGCUAAAAUGAAGAUAUUACUAGAACAGCCCUCUAAAUAGCCCAACAAUUAUUUUUUCUAAAAAUGGUUAAAGAAAUUUUUAAAUAAUAUGGCCAGAAAGAAAAUAGUGACACAUCCCUAUGAUAUCAGAACUCGGGAAGUGGAGGCGAGGAGACCAUCAGGAGUUGAAAGUCAUCCUCAGCUCUAACCCAGCCUAAGCAACAAACCAACAAGAACCAAAAUAAUCUUAGUGCAAUCAUAUUAGGUUGUUACCUGUGAUAUAACAUGUGCUGUUUGUUUGAUCCUUGAUCCAGGGGGUGGUGGGGGACUUGUGUUUUGAGCAAGAAUGGCCCCCAUAGGUUCAUGUGUUUGAAUACUUGGUCCUCACUUGGUGUAACUGUUUGGAAGUAUAGGUGUGGCAUAGGAGGAGGUGUGUUACUAGGGGCCUGGCUUUGAAGUCUGAAACAACACUUCCUGGUUAGCUCCCUCUUUGUCUGCUGCUUACACAUAAAGAUGUGAGUUAUCAGCUGCUGUUCCAGUGCCCUGCCAGUCUGCUUGCUGUUGUGAUUGUCAUAGACUCUAACCCUCUGAAAUUGUAAGCCACAAAUUAAACACUUUCUUGUAUAAGUUUGUCUUGGUCUUGGUGUCCCUUCAUAGCAGUAGAAAAGCCACUAAGCCCUGGGUGGUGGUGGCACACGCCUUUAAUCCCAGCACUCAGGAGGCAGUGACAGGUGGAUCUCUGAGAGUUCAAGGCUAGCCUGGUCUGUUCUACAAUAUGGGUUUGGGGGCAGGCUCCAAAGCUACAGAGAAACUUGUCUCCAAAAAAAAAAAAAAAAAAAAAAAAAAAGAGGGCUAGAAAGAUGGCUCAGGUUAAGAGCACUGGCUGCUCUUCCAGAGGUCCUCAGUUCAAUUCCCAGCAACCACAUGAUGGCUCACAACCAUCUCUAAUGAGAUCCUGGUGCCCUCCUAUGACAAGUGUAUACAUAAUAAACAAAUAAAAAUUUAAAAAAAAGAACCAUCACUAAGUGUUACUUUAAUAGUACUUAACUUUUCAUAGAGAAGAACUAGCCACUAUAUACUAAAAUAUACAUUUAAGCAUAUAUUUUAAAUUUAUUUGUACUUGCUUGGAAAUCUAGAGUUAAUUUCCAUCUUUGUAACUAAUUUUGAGACAAAAAUAGUUAGUAGCGGUAGCAUGAAUUCUAAUUGUUUUUAAUAAUAAAAGCUCAGGGUCAGAUAUUGGAGUUAAAGAUCAGAGAAGCACAAUAGCAAGCUACUAGACAGUUCUUACCUCUACCAAUGCUCAGACCAAAGAGUGAUCCUGUCGUCAGACUACAUCCUCAGACUGCCUAGACUGCACUGUUCUCAGACUGCACCUCUCUCGUCUCCUCCUGCCUAAUAUUCCUCUCUCUGCCCAGCUAUAUCACUCCAGUCUCUACUUCCUUAGUGCUGGGAUUAAAGGCUGGAAUCAAAGGUAUGAGCUAUAUUUCUCUUUUAGACAAAUUCAACCUCAUGUAGCCCAGGGUAGCUUGAACUAAUAGAGAUCCCUCUGCUUCUGUCUCCCAAGUGCUGGGAUUAAAGGUGUGUGCCAUCACUGCCUGGCCCUAUGGCUAACUAGUGUGGCUAGCUUUGCACUCUGAUCUUCAGGCAAGCUUUGUUAGAUCAUGAACAAAAUAUCACCAGAGGUAGCAAAAUUAAAGUUACACCCAUUUAUAUUAAUAAUAUAGUCAUCUUUCAAAAAAGAAAUAAUUACAUAUAGGUAUUUUGUGCUCUGAGGUUUUGCACACACAAGUUUACAAGUUAACUCUAUUUAAAAAUUUUUUUGUUUGUUUGGGUUUUUUUUUUCCUCUUUUGUAGAGGGAUACUAUUCCCCUUGUGGAAAACUUUUUUUUUUUUAAUUGUUGUUUCAUUAAAUAGAGAAAAAGGGAAGAAAAUAGUGUCCUAAUUUUUUUUCAGGUAGAUUUAGCUACUUAUAUAUUUUGGAGAACAAAUGAAUGACCAUCAAUACAUUCCAUCUACCAAAGGGUUAGGGGAUAGCUUAGAACAUGUUUGUUUCUAAUACCUUAAACCCUUUAUAAUACACAGAUUGCUCCUCCAUCAAAAACUUAAGGGAUUGUGUUCUUACCUUAUAUAUUUAUAAAAUAUAUCGCAGGCAUUUCACUUUUCUCUGUUCUUUUUCCUUGUUUGUUUGUCUGUUUGCUUGUUCUGGUGCUUGGGAGUUGAACUCAGGACCUCCAAAAGGGCUCUACUACUAAAACAUCCCAGUACCAAAAAAGAAAACUAUUGAAACUAUUUUUUAAAUUUAUUUAUUAUGUAUACAACAUUCUGCCUCCAUGUAUGCCUGUGUGCCAGAAAAGGGCACCAGAUCUCACUAUGGAUGGUUGUGAACCACCAUGUGGUUGCUGGGAAUUGAACUCAGGACCUCUGGAAGAGCAGCCAGUGCUCUUAAUCUCUGAGCCAUCUCUCCAGCCCUAUUGAAGCUAUUUUUGUGCUAAGUUUUCCUCAGCCUUAAAUUAUUAAUGUGUCCUAAGGAUCAUCCUUUAAUGAGGUUUCUUCCCACUCCCCCAUUUGCCUUUGGUGAUUCUAUUAAAUAAUACCUCUAGAAAAUUACAGUUUCAUUUACUUAGUCAUUUAGUCUUAUAUUUAGGAAUGCUUAUAUGUAAACUUUACAUAUGCAAAGUUUAAAAUGCCAUUUUUGUGUGAAUCAAUGAAGUCUAGUAUGCUAAAAUAUGGAGAAAUUUUAAAUUGUUUCUUUAGAGAAUUUGUGAAUUUUAAUAAUUAUAAGUUUUUAUGUUGAUUUUUUUUGUAUUUUCAUUCGUGGAGGUAUAAAAAUGUUAAAUGUUUAUCAAAUAGCACUAAAAAUGUAUUUGAAACCAGAUGUGGUAUCCACAUGUAUUCCCAGCUUUGUCUCAUUAAGCCAAAAAAAAAAAAAUAGCCAGGCAUGGUUGCACACACCUUUAAAGUUGGCUCUCAAGGCACAAGUAGAAUUCUGUGAGUUCAAAUACAGCCUAGGUGGUAUAGUGAGAUUUAUGUACUGAGAUAUAAACGAAGAUCAUCACAAAACCAGAUAAAAUCCCUUGCUUUCAUGGAGUUUUACAGUGCUAGUGGAUAGUGGAUGAAAACUGGGAUGAAGAAAAAAAAUGACAAUUCAGUGUUCUGUGGAAAAAGUGAAGUAGGCAAGCUAGAAGUGGUAUAAUUACUGUUAUUUCGAGGUAUAUUUUCAAAUAUACUUUUAAAAGUAUGCUUGAGGGAUGCCUCCUACAGGUGAUAUUUGAGAAUUGAACUCAGGAUCUCUGGAAGAGCAAUCAAGUGCUCUUAACCUCUGAGCCACCUCUCCAGCCCUGACAUUUGAAUAGUAAAACCAUAUAAGAUAUCCCGGAAAAGAGCCUCUGAGUAGUUGAAAUAGCAAAUGUAAAGCUUUUUGAAACUAACACAUUUGUGGUGUGUACAUGAACAGAAGAAUAUAUAAGACAAAAUGGAGAGUUAUAAUUAACAAGCAUUUUAGAAGUUGGGACUGGUGCGAUGGUUCUGUUACUAAAGCUUCCUGCAAAGCCGAGCCUGAUAGACCUGAGUGAGUUCAGUUCCCAGGACCUACCUUCUAGGUAGAAAAAGAACAAACAAGUCACCUGGCCACAUUCAAACUAUGGCCUGCAUGUGCCCCCACCACAUACUCAUAAAAUAAAACUUGUGAUAUAUUUAGAAGUCUGGUGUCACAGUAGUUGGAAGUUUUUAGCUUAAUAGAAAAUUCAGCUUUUAGUAAUACAACCUAGACAAUUGUGUUUGCCCCAGCCUGUUUGGAUUUUGCAGAUGGAAGAGAAUGUUUUUUGUUUGCUUGUUUUGUUUUAUACAUUUUAUGUGCAUUGGUGUUUUUGCUUGCUUGCAUGUAUGUGAGUGUGAGGGUGUCAGAUCCCCUGGAACUGGAGUUACAGUUUUGAGCAGGCAUGUGGUUGCUGGGAAUUGAACCUAGGUCCUCUGGAAGAGCAGCCAUUGCUCUUAACUGCUGAGCAAGGAGAGAAUGUUUUUAUUCUGACUCAAGAAUUUCUGUCUUAGCCGGGCGUUGGUGGCGUCCCCUCUGUCUAAGACCAGUAAGAGAAGAGGGUUGGUAUUUAAAUGGGUGAUUAAUCAGGUUUUUAUUAACAGUACUUUGUUGGCUCUCAAAUUGUUUUCUUCUUCAUCAGUUUAGCAACAGUCAAAGUAAAUGGUUCCAAGAAACAUUAAAUUUGUUCAUGUUUAUCAACAGCCAAAAUUUAUUCAUGUUUGUAGUCACCUUUGAUUCCUCCAAUAUUGGAAUUGCUGUUGUAGUUAAGUUCCUGGUUAUUUCUCACCCCCUUUUCAGCAGCAUCUUAACCAAGUAUUUCUUUGCAUCUAUUUUAAUCUAAAAAAAUUUAUCAUCUCCAAUAUAUACCACUGAUUUGAUUUUUCUAAAACACUGCUCUUUCCUACAAAGUGGAAUUCAAAGUCUACAUCAUGAUCUUGCGUCACCCUAAGUUGUUACAUUUUUUUCCUCAGAUGAUUAAUUCUAAGCUUUUUACUUUUAAAGCUCCCCCUCUCCCUCUCAUUAUGUGUGGGCAUGUAUACCACAGCAUCUAUGUGGACAUCAGGGGACAAACUUUGUGCCAUCAGCUCACUCCUUCAGUGUUUACAGAAGUUCCAGGGAUCAAACUCGGGUCACCAAGGUCAUACAGCAAAUACGUUUACUAGAUAUGCCAUCUUGCUAGUCUCCUGUCUGGUACAUUUUAAAAUUUAAGCCAACUCUCUUGUGUCUGUCCAAGUAUUUCUUUUAUUACCAUGCUGUUAACUAUUACUCUCACGGACUGAACAAAUUGCUAUCUGAAUGUGUGGUGGGUUAGGUUUGGUGUUGAGACAGGAUUUUGCUCUGUUGACCAGAUAGCUCUCUAAAUUGCAGUCCUCCAGAGUCAGCCUCUGAGUGAAUAGAUGGAAUCACAGGAGAGUGCCAUCUUGCUAGCUUUAUAUAAUUCUUAAACCUUUUUCCUUACCUUAAUGCAUCUGAGAAUUACAGCAUUUCUGUCAAUAUUUACACCUCCUUUACUUACAUGUAUUACUCUUUUAAAGACAUGAGCAAUAUAAAUGAAAUUUUUUAACUUUAAGGUACAAAAUUAAUACAUCAAGAAAUGUAAAACACUAGCAUAAACAUUAAAUCCUAACAGUCAAUCUAUUUUAACAAGUGAGAUAGCUAAUGUUUAUUUCUCGGAUAGUUAUCAACCAGCUAUGGUAGUAUAGUUUUCGAAUUUUAGCUAAGUAAAUAAGUUAUCUCAAGUGAUUCCUGUGUGUUUGUUUUGUUUUAAUGGAACAAUUGGAAACAUCUGUAAAGUUAUUCGUAUCAAGUUAGUUAACAUACUGUGCACCUUUUUAAAGUACAGGUAAAUAAAUGAACAAAUUGUUGGUAAAUUAAGACUAUGAAACAGUAGAUACAGAUUCAUUAAGUUUAUCACUGGUUUACUAUGGGUAAGAGAAUUUUUUAUUAGGAGUGAAAAGGGUCUUAUUUUUAUAAAUAGUAUAUGUUUCAUUUUUGAAAGGAAGAGAGAAAUCCUUGAAACUUUAAAAAAUCCUUUGAGAUUAGCUCCCAGCCUGCUGCGAGUGCGUUGGUGAGGCAGCCUGCUCUUUUCCAUCAUGCCAAGCCCGCCGAAGAGUCACCGUGAGCAAGGCCUGCCCUCCCGAACUGAAGAAAUGUAUGGACAAGAAGUUAUCAUUGAAGUUAAAUGGUGGCAGACACAUACAAGCAAUACUAUGGAGCUUUGAUCCCCUUAUGGAUCUUGUGAUUAAUGAGUGUGUGGAGAUAGAUGGCAACUAGUGGGCAACAGCAUCAUCAUGUUAGAAGCCUUGAAGAGUCUAAACAAUGGCUGCUCCACAGAGGAGUUCACAUCCUUCCCCAAAGGACUGUUUGACUGGGGUGUAGAAUUGGGUCAUGUACAUUUUCAUAAGAAACUUUUUGCUAAAAAAACCUUUGUGAUACUCAGAAAAAAACAAUCAUUUGAAGUGUUGUUACCACACAGUCACUCAACUUUGGAAAUUUAUAGAAAGGGAAUUACUGUGGAGGAAUUUUAAGUGAUAAUUAAGAAUUAACUAUCAGAACUAGACAAAUACCUUCAAAGUUAGAUAAUUCUAAAAUUAGCUUUUUUUUUUUUUUCUAAAAGUUCUCAAAGCAUCCUCUUGCUCACAUGCCAGUGAGAAAGUGGGCAAAAGCAACUGAUGCCAAGCCUGACAACCUGAGUUUGAUUUCAGGGAUUCACAGGGUUCUUCUCUAACCUCCACUUUCUCACUUUUAAAAUUUUAAAUUGAAUUUCAAGUUAGAGAAAAGACCCCAAAAGUAAAGUUUUGCAAUCCUUAAUAGCAUAAGUUGUUCAAUUAGUGAUUCUUACUUUCUUAGAAGCCCCCAAAAUUUGUAAGUACUUUGUAGUUUUAUAAAUUAAUAACUUAGCCACCUUGGUGCACAUCUGUAAUCCUAGCAUUUGAAUGUACUUAGCAGGAAGAGCACAGGUUUAAGUUCGGGCUGAGUUCUGAAGAAGGAAAAUACAAUCACUAACUUGUUCUUUCUAGAAAGUGCUCUGUUGGUGUAACUGAAAAGAACUUUGCAAUGGUUUUAAAUACAAUAACUUGUUCUCUCUAGAACUUCUGUUUUAUAACUCAAGAAAACUUUCUUAAGGGUUUUAAAUGCGUGUUGCCAGGUCCAAAAGAAACUGGGCAAAAAAGGCUAGCUGUGGUGCCUAGAGCAUGUUGGGCCUGGAGAGAUGGCUAAGAGGUUAACAGCACUGGCUGCUCUUCCAGAGAUCCUGAGUUCAAUUACCAGCAACCACAUGGCGGCUCACAGCCAUCUAUAGUGAGAUCUGGUGCCCUCUUCUGGAGUGCGGGUAGAACAGUGUAUACAUAAUAAAUAAAUGAAUCUGCACUUACAAAUCAUUUUCUAAAAAAGCUUAAUUGCUGCUUUCAUUCUGCCUUUUAUAGUAAUUCUAUUACUAUGUUAAGUCCUACAUAACCUAUAGAAAUUUUCUUGGGUGUUGAUUCAGAAAGGCUACCUUACCUAUUUUGUAACUACUUUUAAUCCUGUGUAUAUGUCAUAAUAUGAUAAUAUGCUUCUGUAUUGCUCUCCUACUAGCCUGUUAGUGGAAUUAUCUUGAGCCUAGGUGUCUUAGUUCAUUUGAUGAUCAGUGUUGUAAAAAGGGCUUUUAAUUCUGUAUAUUAUCAGAAAAUAUGUUCAUUCUGUUAUUCCAUAGAAUAUAGUGAUAACAGUAUUAGUGUGGCUAGCCAAAUAAAGACAACUUGUUGAUCAGAUUGCCUGAAAAAUAUCUUUUCAGUAAAAUUAUCAGGCCUCGGCUAAGUAAAAUUUAUAGGUGACCAACAUCAUGGUUUAACUGAAAGACAAGAUGAAAUGACAAGCAUGAAACUUGUGGAACAGUAUUUCAUGUAUGGUCUAAGCCUUACAAGGAGUUCUUUAUUUUUCAUAGAAAUAGCAUAGUAGUUGGAUAAAGUUUACAGAACUAAGAGGAUCUAUGACAGUAUGUAUCUAUUUUAAUCCUUCAGAAAAGUGUUGCAGAAUAAAAUGUAUUCCCAGAUGCUCUUUCUAAAAUAUUAAAGCACCUUGAAGAUAAGGAAUGACAGUUUUUCUACCACCUCAAGAUUAAAUGUCUUUAAAGUAUUAAUAUAUUUAAAUAGACUGGAGUUUUUCAUUUCAUCAUGAUUGACUUUGUGGUUUCUCUAUUAAAAACAGCUUUAAACUCUUGAGUCAAGCUUGCUUAGGCUAAUGAACUUUUUCAUAACAGUGAAACCAGAAAUUCUUUUUGCCUCACCAAGAAACAGUUUUGCAGCAGUACAGUAUGACUCCUUAACACAUUUAUGUUCUUUAUACUGAAUUUUAACCUGCUUGCCCAACCCCAAAGUACCAAGUUUGGCUCUUACAAGCCUUAAUCCGUACAUAUCACUCAUGUUUGCCCUGCAUUUGGAAAUCAUCUCAUUUCUGGACUCUACUUUUUAGGACCCAGCUGUAUAAAUUCACUGAUGCUCUAACCUUACUUUUUUUUAUUUUUCAUUUUGUAAACUUUAUUAUGAAAAAAGGCUCACUCCACUUAUAAAUGAAAUCUCUUGGUUUGAUUUCAUAUCAUGGCCUUUGUUUUCUUUAUAGUUGAUUACUCCCAAAUUAUACUUGUUAUUGUUGUAAUUUAAAGGCAGCUCGAGAGAAAAAGAUUCCAUGCAACAGGGUUCAAAUAGAGGUUUUUUGUUUUUGUUUUUUUUUUUUUUUUUUUAAAUAAGGGAAGGGGAUCAUAAAAGGGGAAAGGGAAGCAGGGGAUACCAGCUUCUGAAGAUAAGAGCAGCAGGACAGAGGAGAAAGAGUGGGAGAGAGAAGUGAACAGACAAGGAAAGGGAGGGGGAUAGGAGGUGGGAAGACCCUUUUAAAAGGGAACAUUGUGAAUAUGCACAGGUGGCUGCAGCCCGGGGUCUAUAUCCUGUCAGAACCCCAAGGCCAGGCCAGUACAGAUGCCUAGAUACUAACAGUUGCAGCUAUCAAGAAAAUAUAUAUUCACCGGGCGUUGGUGGCGCAUGCCUUUAAUCCCAGCACUCGGGAGGCAGAGGCAGGUAGAUCUCUGUGAGUUAGAGACCAGCCUGGUCUACAAGAGCUAGUUCCAGGACAGCCUCCAAAGCCAUAGAGAAACCCGAGUGCUGGGAUUAAAGGUGUGCACCACCACCACCCAGCUGCCAUGGAGAGAUCUUUGUUGAGAAUUCUUUUAUCUAAAAUUACUUUUUGCUGGGUGGUGGUGGUACAGGUCUUUAAUCUGUAAGCAGAGGCAAACCUGGUCUACAAAGCAAGUUCCCGGACAGCUAUGCAGAGAAACCCUGUCUGGGGGGAAAAAAAAAGAAACUAAAUAAAAUUACUUUUUUUAUUUGCAUUUCCAUUUUCUGUUUUUGUUUGUUUCUUUUAGGACCAGGUUUCACUCUAAACUAGGCAAGUCCUGCCCAAGCCUCCUGAGUACAGUGAUUAAUAUUGUAAUCAUUGUAUUAAGAUGAUGUUCUGCUUUGAUUUUCAUGUGUAUAAUAGAUUCACUCUAUAAAUUACUAUAUAGUAAUUUUAACAAUUCUUUAAUGCAUAGGGAAAAUUGAAUAUAUUUUGUAUUUGUUACAUAGCAGAUAUUAAUACCUAAUACUCAAAUGUUUAACUUUAAAAGGCAAGUCAUGAGUUUUGAAAUUGUAUUAGAAGUCAUAACCAUAGCUUUUCAAAUUUACUUUUAUUGGUAUUUUUGCUUUUACUUACUCAUAACUGAAAACAUGAGAUUUCUUACAGAAAUAUUAAAAUGAUUGUUUUAGAUUAAUUUGUUUCAUACUAUUUUGUUUUUUGUUUUUUUUUUUUUUUUUUUUGAGAUAGGGUUUCUCUGUGUAGCUUUGGAGUCCAUCCUGGCACUCAACUCUGUAGACCAAACUGGCCUCGAACUCACAGAGAUUCACCUGCCUCUGCCUCCCGAGUACUGGGAUUAAAGGCGUGUGACACCAACACCCAGCUAUUUCGUACUGUUUUUCAGCCUGUUGUUCCUUUGGGGGGGAAAAGCCAUUCUAGGUUUAGAGAAAACUGGAGUUAAAUUAAUUAAAGAAUCCACAGAAUAAUACGUAAAGUGAAACAAUAGAUGCCCAUUAAAUUUUUUCAAUAAUUCUAUACAUAAGGAUCAGUAAGUUACUUUUCAUUUUUUGUCUUCAUUUUUAAGGUCUCAGAUAAUGUAACUUCCAUUUUCACUCAUCAAUAUGUAUAUUAUUCAUUGAUCUAACAAGUUACUUUGUUCAAAGGCAGUUGUCUUUGUUACUAGUCUCUUUAAUGUCACCAGGAUGUAUUUCAUUAGGAAAGGAAUUGAGCAUGUAUGAGAAGUUUUAAGACUGCACUAAUAAAGAAGGACAUAUCAAAAACAGAUUAAUGGAAUGUAAACUGUUGCUAACUAGUAGCUCAAGGGAAAUCAGAUUUAAACUCAAAUAACUUAAAGCAGGUGGAAGAUAAGCAGUGACUGAAAUGAGACAAUAAUAGGCGAAGUUUAAACAGGGAUCAAGGCAUGAUGAAGGCACAGCUUAUACUGCAGUUUGAACAAAGAAAGUGGGCCCUGGGAAGUAGGUAGAGAAAUGAGGAUUGGCACUUUGAGACUGUUUACCGUUUGCAUACGAUGCCCUCAUUUCAGGACUGCAUGCAACCCUUCAGGAGCCAAGAUGUGAUGCUUUGAAUAAAAAAGAAAAAACAGCUUAUAAGAAGUGGUUGAAAUCCUGGGCAAUGGUGGCUCAUAACUUUAAUCCCAGCACUUGGGAGGCAGAGGCAGGUGGAUCUCUGAUCCAGUCUGGUCUCCAAAGUAAGUUCCAGGACAGCCAGGUCUACACACAGAAACCCUGUCUCAAAAAAAACAAAAGAAAAAAAGAAAGAAAGAAAAAAAGCAUUGCCAAGUCUAGUGUCACCAGCCUAUCACCCUAGCUUCUUGGGAGGCUAAAGCGCAUGAUUUAUUUUUUAUUUUAUGUCUAUGAGUGUUUUUGUUUGCAGGUAUGUCUGGGUACCAUGUGCUUUCCUAGUGCCAUGAGGUCAGAAGAAGACAUCCCCUGGAACUGGAGUUAACUACUGAGUCAUCUUUUCAGUCACAAAAAUCUUGCAUCUUGUUUUAGAUAAUUAUGCUUUUGUAAAACUUGUUUUUGAUAGAAAAAAUACAUAAGAACAAGUCUAUUAAUCUAUUUUUGGCCAUCUUCUGGAAUUUCUUGCUAAAUCUCCUUUGAAAUGCCACAGUUGUGGUCUUAAACAACUUCUCUUCCUGGUUUUCAAAUUUCUGUUUGUUUGUAAACCAGGGUUUCUCUUUGUAACAACCCUGGCUGCCCUGGUACUUGCUUUGUAUAACAGGCUGGACUUGAACUCACAGAGCUGCACUUGCCUCUGCCUCCUGAGUACUGGGAUUAAAAGUGUGAGCUACUAUGUCCAGCUAAAUCUCUGUUUUUUAUUAUAGCUCUUCAGUCAGGAUGCCAGAUCUUUGUGUUUUAAUGAAACUGGAGAUUGGUACACUUCCCCCAGUUUCCAUUAUUUGGCUUUCCAUUUGAGAAAUUAAUACUAUGCAAUUUUGUAGCGUUUGAACUGAGCAAAAUUAGACUUUUAUUCCUCAAUUUCAUUCCCUCUGUCUAAUAUUGGGAAAACAUUUGUUUUAUUGAAGAAGGUAAAGUUCUAUAGUAUUAGCACAUUUUAGUCACUGAUCCUCCAAACUAACACAAGGGUAGGGAUUUUUCUACAAAUAUGGACUUUGAGAUGUGACACUCUUAGGAAAAAAGGAGGCAUUUUAAUUCAGUUUGGGGAAUACUAAAUGGUAUGUUAUGCCAAAUAAGAUAGCUUAUUUAUAUAAAUAUAACUUAAAUUUUAUUCAAAAUUUUUUUAGAUUUAUUAUUUUAUGAGGAUGUAUGUAUGUCUGUAUCACAUGUUGGUCUGGUGCCCUCAGAGGUCAGAAAAGGGCAUCAAAUCCCCUGGAGCUAGAGUUACAGAUGGUUAUGAGCCACCAUGUGAGUGUUGGGAACUGAACCCUGAUCUUCUGCAAGAAUAACAAGAGCUCUAAACCUCUGAGCCAUCCCUUUUAGCUCUAUACAUUUUUUUUAAAGAAAAUAAUUCAUUGUCCUCACUAAAGAGCCUCAUGAAAUGGAUUUAUGUGAAUAAUUGCCAAAUUUGUCUCUUUAGCCUCAAUUUCACAUAGUCUUAUCUUGGUAAAGCCAAUGAUUUUUUUUUUUUUUUUUUAGGGUUUACUUAUUAUAUGUACAGCUUUCUGUCUGCAUGUAUCCAUGCAAGCAAGAAGAGGGCACAAGAUCUCAUUACAGAUGAUUGUGAGCCACCAUGUGGGUGCUGGGAAUUGAACUCAGGACCUCUGGAAGAUCAACCUCUGAGCCAUCUCUCCAGCCUCAAGCCAAUGACUUUUAAUCAAAGCAUUUUGACUAAAUGCCUAUUGGUUCAAAUGUAAUAUUGUAAAAAAAGGAGCUCACAGUCUUUCAGAUGGUUCCUCAUAAGCUUGUUACCCUUCAGUAAUAUUACCACCAGCGUCCAGAAUAAAAAUAUGAUUUUUAUACUUCCCUUUUAUCUUAGCAAUCAUAUGUUCCACUUUUUUUUUUUUACUUGAAAUGUUACAUUUAUUCUUUUACAAUGAAUUUUCUUUUUGGAUACCAGAUCUCACUAUAUAAUCCAUGUGGGCUUCAAACAUGUGGUACUCCUGCCUGCCUCUCUCCUUCCUAAUGGCUAGGAUUACAGGCAAGCAUCACCGUGCCUCAUGGUCAUUUCCAUUCUUACUGCUACUGUUUGGUUUAGAUUUUCUUCACUCCUAGGUAACAAUAGUCAUGCCAAAUUUCUUUGCCAUAAGACCGAAUUCAGGACAGCUUUGUUGACAUAACCGAGUCCCAGACCAACCAAAGAUAUAAAGUGAAACCCUCUUACCACAAAUUAUAAAACAAAGCCUUUGUGUUUGUGUGUGUGGCAGGGUCUCCUAUAAUCCAGUUCAAACUCAUAUAGCUGAGGAUGAACCAAUCUUCCCUCUACCUUUUCAAGUGCCAGAAUUACAGGCCUAUACCAACACACCCAGUUUUAUAUGGUGGUAGUGAUCAAAC